AGUUGUGCAGUAUGAGCUUAGUUGCCCGUGGCAUGUGGGAUCUUCCCAGACCAAGGAUUGAACCCAUGUUUCCUGCACUGGCAGGCAGAUGCUUUACCACUGAGCCACAAGGGAAGCCCCAAACUCAAUUUUUGAGACUAACUUUAUUUUGAUGCCAAAACCAGACAAAGACAAUACAAGAAAAAGAAAACUACAGAUCAGUGUCCCUCAUGAACAUAGAUACAGAAAUCCUCGACAAAAUGUUUCCUAAUUGAAUCCAGCAAUAUGUAAAAAAUAAGUGGGUCUUAUCUCAGGAAUGCAAGGCAUUGAAGAUCAAUCAAUGUAAUUUACUAUAUUGACAGUCCAAAGAUGAAAAACCACAUGAGCCUGUCAUUCAGAAAAAACAUUUAAUUAAAUUCAACAUCCAGUCAUGGACAUCCAUAAAGUACUUUUAUAACAUCCACAAAAGCUCUCAUAAACUAGGCACAGGGGACUUCCUUAAACUGAUAAAGGGCAUAUACAACACAACCUGUAUCAUACCCAGUGGUAAAGACUGAAUGCUUACCCUCUAGCAUCAGGAGCAAGACAAGAAUAUUCGUUCUCAUCAUUCCUAUUUAACCUUGUCCUGAAACUCCUAGUCAGUACCUUAAGUCAAAACAAGCAAACAGAAGGCAUACAGGUUGGAAAGGAAGAAAUAAAGCUAUUAUAUUGGCAGAUGACAUUUCUAUGCAGAAAAUCCCAAGGAAUCUACAAAAACAUCUAGUGCUUGUAAGAGAUUUUAGCAGUGCUGCAGGAUACAAGAUCAGCCCACAAAAAAUCAAUCAUAUUUUUACAUACCAGCAGUGAACAAUUGGAAACUGACAUUUAAAAAAACCAUACUUACAACAGUACCCCCAAAAUGAAAUAAUUAGGUAUAAAUCUUACAAAAUACUUGCAGGGUCUGUGUUGAGACUGCCCCCUUUUAAGGGACUUUCCUGGAAGUCUUGUGCAACAUCUGCCCUCACGUGACAUUGACUGUCACACGGGUACCCAUGGCAAGGGUGCAAGGGAAGCUGGGAAAUGCUCCACAAGGACUUCAUUAAUUUUCAAUGUUAGGAUCCUGAGGGGGUUCCAAGACCACAUAGGCAGAGGCUGGCAGCUUCCUCUGGGUUCUUUUGGGAAUGUUGUCUGUCUCAGAGUAGAUAAGAGCCAUCCCUAGGAAGGACAUUUUUUAGAUAUCUGGCUGAAUGGACAUGGAGAGCAGCUUCCAGUAACAGAGCUGAGAGCAUGAAUGUCAGAUGGGCAAUCAGGGGAGAGAAGAAAGAGCUGCCUGGAGGAGGAGUCACUGAGGCCUCACAGCAGUAAGUGCUGGCUGGGCCAGGGCCCCCAAUCAGCGCCCACUAAGUCCAUCGUCACAACCCCUCCUAAGGAAAAUGUCCUGUGCCCCCAGGUAACCUCGUUCUGUCCUGGGUUACCUUGUGCCACCCUUUGCCCUGGUCUCAGCUGAUUGGACUCAAGCUUGGCACCUAACCCAGGAGCAGCCAGUUCACAGGAGGGUCAACCAUCCAUGUCUUGCUCAAAAAAUUGUCGAGCCAUUCAGAUUCCCUGGUUCAACUGAACGGAAAGAACUUGCAGGUGGGAGCAGAACAAAGACAUAGACGCUGGGGCACUGGGGGCCAGGUCUUGUCCUGGAUCCCUGUGGUCUCUCAGCAGUUUGGACCGGGGCACUCCAACUCAGAUCUUCAUGAACUUCCCUCCCGGCUCCUGGUACAGUCAUCCCCACCACCAACCCUCUCCUUCAGAGCUGGAGGGCCUCAGCUGCUUGCAACAAACAUACCAGCCCUCAGUUGUUUUAAAUCAAGGUCCUCAAGCACUUCCUAUAGAAAUUCAGUAGAUUUCAAUAAUAGAAUCAAAGUCGAGCUUUUGAGAGUUGGUUCUGGGGAGCGUGAAAUAUCUGACUUUGUUGUAAAUAUUCUUGCACAUUCAUUUAAAAAGUUCAGCAUCAAAGACAGAAUUCUUUGUGCUUGCAAGGAUGAAUAUAAAUUUUAGUAGAACACAGCAGCAUGGUAAAAACAAUAUUCAUAUCCAAUUAGGAAAUUCAUGGAGCAGAAAUGAACUUGGAAUCGGUGUGGUGCAAAUAUAAUUGAAAAUUGGGAUAAAACAAGCUGUGAUGGAAUAUCAAUUGAAGUGGAAACUGUAGUCAUUUGUAUGUACAUAUGCAUACAUAAAGAGUAAUUACACUACAAUACUUUUUUGGCAUGGGUGUUUAAUAUAAGACAUAUUUCAAUCUGAUCACAGGGCCAGGACUAGGAAAGGAGAGGUACAAAGUUUAAGGGGGGCUUCCCAGGUGCCUCUAGCGGUGAAGAACCUGCCUGCCAGUGCAUAAGAGACAUAAGAGAGGCGGCUUCAACCCCUGGGUCAGGAAGAUCCCCAGGAGGAGGGCAUGGCAACCCACUCCAGUAUUCUUGCCUGGAGAAUCCCAUGGACAGAAGAGCCUGGCGGGUUACGGUCCACAGGGUUACCAACAAAGAGUUGGACACGACUGAAGUGACUGAAGCACAGAACAAAGUUUAAGGGGUAGCAAAAAACUCAAUAAUCGAGACAAAUAGCACUUUUCUACAUGUAUUUUACAAAUAAAAAUUAAUGCAAAAACCAUGAUAAGCAAAAUAUCCAAAUUUUACAGAUAGGAUCUGUAUUAUCAAUUUUCUUUCUGCCUCAGGUUCCCGCAUUACUUGGCAGAGCCUUGCAAAGCAGUUUGUUUUCUCAUUUGCUGCCUGUCAUCAGUCAAAUUUUUCAACUGUUUGAGCCUUUGAAGAAUUACUUUGUAAAUCAUUUUAAGUGUUUACAAUGGAAUUGCACAUUUUGUAAAUGAAUCCUCUAAAUUUUGUUCAAAAGCAAUUGAAAACCUUUAGUCAGAGUGUUCAACAAGCCUGCCAAAAUAAACUUUAACUUUUAUCAAAUUUAAGGUACUGUAAGCAAAACUUUCAUCAAAUUUCAGUUAUUUCACACUGGAAAACAUUUUCACAUCUCUCUCAAAAGCAAGGGAGUUGCUGAACAAAUUAAGUAACUAGAGCAUGAAUGGUGGCCAAGAUUUAAUUUAGAGAUUCUCAAAUUUUUCUUUAGAAUGCCUUCAUUUGUGGGAAGACUCUUUUGAUGGAUUUCCUACUUAAAUUGAGAAAAUUUAUAUUUUGUACUUGGAUUGAAGAGAAGACAGAAGUUUAUGGUUUUGCAGCAUUUAUAACUGGCAAAAUAGUAAGAAUUAUAAAGUCAACUUAUAUGAGAGUUUUAUCUUUGCAUAACAUUCGUUAAAUGUAUUCUAAAUGGAAAUACACUAUCUGUGAAAAUGUUGGGGCUGAAAUAGUUAAUCAUUCCCACCUAAAUAAAUUAGAAUUGAAAAUAUCCUCCAUUUAGCAGAAUCUUCUCUAAGCUUAUCAGGUACCUCUGCCGAAAAAAAAAAAACAACCAACCAACCAUAUUCUUAUUAAGAAUAUUGUAAUUUAUAGAGAAAAGAGGCCAUGAAGUGUGUUAACAACUUCUUUUUUUACAGUUCUUAACCACUGGACCAUCAGGGAAGUCCCAGGGAAUCCCAGUUUUGAAAGUACAUGAUGUGAUCAGGAGGGCAGAUGGAUCAGCACUUUGUAAAACCCCAAACCCAGCUAAACUAGGAUGGGGGAGACUCGUGGUAUCCAGAAUUGUGACCGAAUGAUUCCCCGUGAAUUCAGACAAUGAACCUGCCGUUGGUUUGCUGCAGGAACCCUUCAAGGAACAAUUGAACAGAGUGACUGCUGAGGGUGGGCUGGGGCCACCCUCCCACCCGGGCCAUCCACUGCCCAGCUCCCCAGCACGGGGCUCCCCAACCCUCCAGUCUUCCCUGGCCUCAGCUGGGAGGGAAAGGUGACCUUGCUGGCUGCAGCUAGGCUGCAGAGGGAGGCUUUGAGGGGACAGUGGCAGGUGGCAGCUGCAUCCUUGACUGUGCUGGAGCGCUGUGUGCACAGAGGAGCCUCAGUUACCAAGUGCCCAGCUCCACAGGCUCUGCACACACCCACACAUGCACACCCCUCCUCCCUAAACGUGCUUCCACGCGUGGUAGGAAGAAUAACAGCCCCCAAUGAUGUCCGCAUCCCCACUGCAGAACCUGUGAGUACCUUACUUACCUGGCAGAAAGGGACUCUGGAUAUGUGGUUAGGGAUCUUGAGAUGGGAAGGUGGUCCUACGUUACCCAAAUGGACCUAACAUAGCCACAGGGUCCUUAUAGAGGAAAGAAGGAGGCAGGAGAGAGGUUUUUCGGUUGGCUUUGGAGAUGGAGGAAGAGGCUGCAAGCCAAAGAGGGCAGGCAUUUCCAUUCUGGAAAAUGGGAAGGACAAGGAAGCAGAUUCUCUUCUAGCAUUCUUCAAAGGACAGAGCCCUAACAACCCAUCAUGGAUUUCUGACCUCCAAGACUAUAGAAUAAGUAGUUUGUUAGUGGUUUAAGCCACUGGGGUAUAAACCAUUAACUGUUUUAAUAAACCUUUUAUAGUCAGCAUCCAGAUCAGGAAACAGAAUUUUGCCAGCUCCCCCAGAACAUCAGUCAUUCACAAAUCACCUUCCUGAUUUUUGACUCAUCCACAUACCACUACAUGCCACCUCUGGAGUUUUCCUUACAAUUGUUAACAUUUUUCUUUAAAUAUUUACACUCCUUAAAUAUUUAAAUAUUUACUUAAUGAAAUCUAUCUGAAAAGAAACUUUCUAUCGCUUUGUGGAGUGUUAAAACUAUUAUAAUGACCCAGUAUUUAUGGCAAGAAUUUUAUUUGAAAGCCAGUAUAAAAAUAAUUGUUACCCACUUCCAGCUAGACCCUUCUACCUGCUGGAGGCUCUGGACCCGAUGGCUGCUCCCUCUGUGUUAAAAACAGUGGUUUAUCAGGAGAAUUUGAGAGGUGUUGAGAACUGAUGCACACCAAGCCCAGGCUUUCACUUAUAUCUAGUCAUAAAGAUUGAAAGAAACUAGCUAAUACCAUUUAAUGACAAGUCUGCGUCUGCUCCCUCACUUAUGUCCCAGGUCACCAGCAUUUACCUCCACCUCAUAAAAGAGCAGAGGGCUUGUUUCUGACUCCUCUCAAAGUGACCUGCAACUCACUGGCUGUGCAAGCCCAGUUAGAGAGCACUUGAGCACGAUGUUUGGGGCCAUUUGAAAGAGCAAAAUCACUCACAAAAAGCACAAAAUUGUGAAGAGCCCUGCACUAGAUGGAUCACGGAAAGGACAUGUUAACAGUGUGAGCUGAAACAGGAGGGUGGAGCAUCGGUCGGCUUGCUGGACUUCAGCUGGGAAUUUGCAUGUGGGCCCACUCUUUGAAUGUCCACCAGCAACCUUGAAGGCAUGGGAGGCUUGGAGGUGAAGAAAUAUGCAGCUGUGUCACAUGGUGUCCUAAGUGGUGGAAGGAGAUGACCCAAAGCCCUGCUCUGAUUACUAGAUUCCCUUUGCCCCAGCACCAAAGCAGAGGAGACCCAGAAGGAUAAGCCAGAACGUUGGAGAGCUGGGUUCCUACCCCAACAAUAGGGGCUGUUGUGAGGAUUAAAUGACCCCGUGCAGAUGAAGCAAUGGCACCUACCAAGCACUGACAAGAGAACCCUAGGGACUCACACCCAGGUCUUCAGCCUCCAGAUUCAGUGCUUCCCCUAAGAAGCCAGGAAACCAAGCUUCUCAGUCUCCUUCUUGCUGCUGCACCCAUUUGCCAGCCCAGACAGCGCAACAGAAGGAACCCCGUGCCUAUCAAGUCGGUGCUCUUCUCCUGUAGCUGCGGAGACUGAGGACUGGUCGGGAAAUUAGCUCGGGCCCUGCAGGGACGCCAUCAGACCCCAUUGGGACCCAGUCCCCUGACUCCCAGACUGGGGCUCCUUCCACCAGCUCACAGCACCCCCUGUUCCCCUCUGCCUGCUGCACUGGGAGGGUUUGAGGGCAGAGGAGCAGGCGCCCUCCUGACCAGGCACACUCACUGUCCCCAGGAGCUCGAAGGCCCGACAUUAACGGGAUUUUCCUAUUUUAUUAUCUCAUUUUUCCUUAUCCCGCAUUCCCAUUUGGACCCCAUUUAUCAAUCCUCCCAUUUCCUGCACUUUAAACAAUUAAUUUAUUAUCGCUUUUAACUUUUUGAGUUGGAGCCACUCUUUCAGUUGCUCCUAGUGAAUCACUCUCACUUUUAGAUUUUUGGCAUUUUAUAUCUGAGGUUCUAAUAUUGCUUUUUAAUCCAGUUGACUUUAUUAUGCAUAAACUCAAUAUUUUCAGAUCCU